rnacentral:lncRNA from 1 species
AAUGAAUGACUAUUUCAACAUGCCCCAGAGUGAACUACAGAUAGAAAUUCUUGGAAGCUACUUGAAAGGUGAACUUCUCAUCGCAACUCUUGAAUUGCACAUGCAAACAAGAAGUCAGAGCUGUAGGAGCAGAUGCUGGCCAGUGAAGUUCUCUACCCAACUCCUGCUCAGCCAGAAGGGACUGGAGAAGGUGGACAGAAAGCGUCAGAAGUGUUAGCUUUCAUGGGAGAAGGAGAGUCAAGAGAUAAGGCAAGGAGAUCCUUCCCAGCCUCUUGGAGGCUGAUUCCACUGAACUGAAAACUUAUCUGUGGAAGUUUUAUACUGAGGCACCAAUUCUCUCGUGGAGCACUGAUGGAGGGAAGCAGUGUUCCUGAGGUGACCCCAGAGUUGUUUCUUAUUGACCUUUGAUUCUCCCCAAGGAAAAUUGUCCUAAAUUCCUCAUUAUGGGGUGUGUGUGUGUGUGUGUGUGUGUGUGUGUGGCAACUGUAUGAAAUUGAGGGUGUUCCCCAGGGGCAUUGCAUAAAGAAGAGAGCCCCACUUGGCACCAUGAAGUGACCUGGCAUGGGAAAGGUGGGGAGGGAAGGAAG